UUUUAAGAAUUUGAAGUAUGAUAAAAAUGUAAGUCUCCGAAGAAGCACGCGCGUUUAAAUAUCGUAAUUUACUUGACAAGUUAUGGAAAGGUGACUUAAUUAGAGAAAAAAACUGCAGUCGAGGACAGCUUUCUCGAGGCGACUUCAUUGCAGGGAAACUCUGUGGCUCUUAAUAUGAUAGUUUCUAGGAAAAACUGCUUCGACGUGACCGAAACGACAUUCUUUCGUUCGAUGGAAGUAGCAUCUUAAAGUUAGUUUCCUUUUUACAAGAAUCGAGAAUGCUACUUAUUGAUAAAUGUUUUACUAAUAUUAAUUCGAAGAUUUGAAAUUUGAUAAAAUUGGCAUCUAAAAGAUAUAUCAUUAUUUAAAGAUUUCUCGAUAUUAUCGAAUAGAAUGAAAUUUUUAUCGAAAUUAUUUCUAUUUUUAAACGAUUCUCGAAUUAAUUUAGAUAUUUUAAAAAGAUACUUAUGUGUUUAAUAUGUCAAAGAUAUCUAUUUUAGGUAAUCAGUUUUUAAAGAAUUUUUCACAAAUUUAAGUGAUAUCUUUUUUCUUUUAAACGAAAACGAUAUUUUUUAUACGAAUUUACGAAAAAUACAAAACACGUUCGAAACUGAAAUUCUAUUAGUAAAACUUUGCAGAACAGCGAGAACGGAAUAUUGAUAAAUGUCUGCAACAACAAAGAUACAAAACAAUUUCCCUUUUUCACUAGAAUAAACGCGUCUAUCAUUUAAUUACAAGAUUUUUACCAAUAAAAAUGACGUUGUUUAAAAUAUUCGAGAAAGAAAAUUCCUUCGAUAACAUUUAUUGGUAAAAUUAUUCAAAUGUACACACUCGUAUAAUCCUAACACGUCGAUUUACCCUUCGAUCCCAAGAUUCCAGGAACUCGCUCAAAGACAAAGCACGUAAGAGUAUGUAAAUCCCGCGAAGUAGAUUACUAGCUCAGAGGGGCACGGUUUUCCAUCGGGGGAGGCUCUCUCAACCAACGGAGAAAGACAGAAAGAAAGGUAGGAAGAGAGGGAGUCAAUUUCAUCGGGCACGGAAACUUUAAUUUCAAUCGAACUUGCCGACAGAAUAAUAAUAAUACUAAAGCCAGUAGUAGGUACCCUCGUAACCCAACAAACAGAGAGGAGGAGGAGGAGAAGGAGGAGGAACAGGAGAAGGAGGAGAAGGAGGAGGAACCUAUUAAGAAUCAACUUCACCAACGAGACUUAGAAAUCGUUAACGCAUCGGAAUGCCACUAAAACUAUAUCCCAUCCCUCGCUAGGGGUGCGAACUCGAAUCGAAGGAAGGAAGGGAGGACUAUUUAAAAAAACGGAUACGUGAUUCGAAAACAAAGAGAAGAAAAACGCAAAAUGCAUCGUUUACCUGAAGAAUAUGGGUACCCUGAUGUACAUCGAAGUGGUCCAUAGCAGCGGAUGCCGAUGACCUAACUCGAUUCGCACCUGGAAUCAGAAAACGUGGCGCGUUAUUAAAGGCGAUGAUAUAUGUCCAUCAUCUAUUUGAAUGGGCUCGGUUCAACGCGAUAUUUAACAUUCUGUUUUUUCAUCGUAGUUAAGUUUAGACGCUUCCGUAAAGAAUAUGACAGGUCCAUAGUUAUCGCUUAGGUAUACGUGUGUUAAAAAGAUAGAUUUGUAUUCGUCAGAUGGCGUCAAAGUUGCAUAUUGCCGUGCAUAUCGCGAACGAUGAAUAGUAAUGAACAAACGGAACUCGAUAAAUCAACAUUCCGUGGUGGUUUCUCUCGAUCACCCAUUUCUGACACAAAUUUCAUUAAAAGAAGGAAAUCACGUCAAUCUAAUAAACAAUUAACUCAUCGU
rnacentral:lncRNA from 1 species